ACACAUGCAAGUCGAGCGGAUGAGAGGAGCUUGCUCCUGGAUUCAGCGGCGGACGGGUGAGUAAUGCCUAGGAAUCUGCCUGGUAGUGGGGGACAACGUUUCGAAAGGAACGCUAAUACCGCAUACGUCCUACGGGAGAAAGCAGGGGACCUUCGGGCCUUGCGCUAUCAGAUGAGCCUAGGUCGGAUUAGCUAGUUGGUGAGGUAAUGGCUCACCAAGGCGACGAUCCGUAACUGGUCUGAGAGGAUGAUCAGUCACACUGGAACUGAGACACGGUCCAGACUCCUACGGGAGGCAGCAGUGGGGAAUAUUGGACAAUGGGCGAAAGCCUGAUCCAGCCAUGCCGCGUGUGUGAAGAAGGUCUUCGGAUUGUAAAGCACUUUAAGUUGGGAGGAAGGGCAGUAAAUUAAUACUUUGCUGUUUUGACGUUACCGACAGAAUAAGCACCGGCUAACUCUGUGCCAGCAGCCGCGGUAAUACAGAGGGUGCAAGCGUUAAUCGGAAUUACUGGGCGUAAAGCGCGCGUAGGUGGUUCGUUAAGUUGGAUGUGAAAUCCCCGGGCUCAACCUGGGAACUGCAUUCAAAACUGUCGAGCUAGAGUAUGGUAGAGGGUGGUGGAAUUUCCUGUGUAGCGGUGAAAUGCGUAGAUAUAGGAAGGAACACCAGUGGCGAAGGCGACCACCUGGACUGAUACUGACA
rnacentral:rRNA from 1 species